CGCGGUCUAUGUGAUUAAACAUCGCGAUGAACAGCGUUUGUAAUAGACCGGUAUUAUGUUGAUUGCGAUAUGCGAAAUCGAUCGGUCGCCCUUUUCCUGUUAUCCGACGACCCUAUAGCGUAUGGCGGAAAAACAAUGGUUACCCGCAUUAAAAUACAAUUGAAUAUCCCGUAAAUUAUAACGUAACAAGCCCGGACGGUGUGCCACUGUUGCAGGGGAGAAGUCGGGGAUAAAUAGGGUACACAGAGCGAUUUACUUUAUACCUGUAAGCAACGACAAACUAUUGUCAACGGGUUCGGAGCGAAGUCCGU